rnacentral:misc_RNA from 1 species
GUGAAUCAUCGAAUCUUUGAACGCAAAUUGCACUCUCCUCGGAGAGUAUGCCUGUUUGAGGGUCAGCCUAUAAAAAUCGACAUCGUUGCUGUUUCGCGGUGGCGUUCGUCGGAAAUUGGGUCAUCUUAAUUCCUUUGGGUUUUUAAGCGACUUAAAAUUUUUUUUUUGUUUCCUUGACGGUUUUUAAGUUUAAUUUUUUUCAACUUUUA